rnacentral:tRNA from 1 species
GCGGCCAUGCUGAAAUUGGUAGACAGGCACGGUUGAGGGCCGUGUGAGCCUAGCUCAUGAGAGUUCGAUUCUCUCUGGCCGCACCA